CGCCGCCCGGGCCCCGCUGGACCGGAGGCAGUCGCGGCCGAGCCGGGCUGGCACCGCCUACGAGGCCCCGGGGACCUUAUGGGAAAGGCUUACAUCACCAAAGCCUUUAGAGAAACAGUCACCUUCACAGCUUGUACAUUCUGAGCCAAUGACUGCAUACCUUCACUGCAUGCUGCACAGACUCAUCACUUCCUGCUCUGGACUGCAGACAAUAUUUGCAAUAGCGAUGUGGCAGAGCUAAUUUUCUUUUGGCCAACAAGCCCAUCUUGACAAUUGACGAGAGAUCAAAAAAGGGCAUGGUGUUAAAGAGGACCCAGGCUGGAGAGAAGCAAGAGGCCAGUUCCCUCACCUGUUGGCACACUGCACCAAGAUGUGGGAAGCAUGAGUCACACUGGACUGACUCAGAGGAAGUAUGACUUCACGAAAUACUCACGGAGUCGGGGACUUGGGGGGCUCAUCCUCCACAGUGCUGGGAACCAAGAAAACAUUGGCCUCUGGGCAACCAUUUCUCGAUUCCAGGAUCUUUUGUGGAGAUUUGCUUAAUGUCAGUGGGUCUGUUCACUGUUUCUACAACUAGGCACCUGAACUAAAGCACUAAGCCAGAUAAAAAUGUAUUUAACUAUUAUUCAAAUCCAAGGUAGGGGCACCU